rnacentral:lncRNA from 1 species
UUUCCUUUUUACUAGAAAUAAAAAGAAAACUGCAAUUUUCGUCUAUGAGCUUUUCUAAUUGCUAGUCUAUUUUUCUAUUGUUUUCACUACCAGAAUGAGUCAUCAAUAUCUGCUGUAGCUUGUUCUUUUCUCUGAUUACCUUACAGACUCACUCAUACCUCUACCAUUGAUGUAAGAUUCCUUAACAUCACCACUUCCCUUCUAAUUAACAUCUGAAAUCUCAAUUCUUAAGCCUGUUUUUUGUGACUUUCACGUUAAAUCAGCCCAUCUUUCUUGACACAACUUUUUCCUCUCCUCUUUCUUCCUUCUUCCAAUCCAUCAAAAAAAAACAAAUUAAGAGCCUACACUGUACAAGUAACAAUUGUUGAGGGUUCAUCAUAAGGAAGGUAAAAUUCUACUUCUUUAAGAGCUGGAAUGACUGGAUGUGCAAACACGACAUGUGGAGAAAGAAGCGAGUGCUCCAGUAAACGAUGGUCUUUCCUUCAAAGACAGCCAGCAUUUCCACGGUCCUGUUCCCAUGGAGCUGACACUAUUUUAACAAACUCCCCUUUCAUGACUGAAGAUGUCACCUACCUCAGUGACUGGGGGCUCAGCACAGUUGCUUCCCUGCAUCUGCAUCUGGAUCAGUUUCCCUGUAGAGAGGCCUGAGACUUGCUUCUGUCGGUUACAAACUGCUUGGUCUCCACUGACAUGGCCUUGAGUCAUUUCCAGACCUUCACACUCACCAUCCUUAUAGACACUUUUUGUUUUAAUUACAUGGAGGUAUUCCCAGUUAAAUUACUUUUUUUUCUGUGAAAAUCGCCUUAAUUUUUGACAUCUCCUUGUAUGAAAAAAUGGCAUCAUAAGGCAAAAGUUGCGGAAAUGUAAAGAAGGCAGGGUGUAUUGGCUGUAUCAUAUUUUUGUUGUUAUUGUUGCUGUUUGUUUUUCCCUGCCCAGCUGCCUAAUCGCUAGCCCAGUGAACACCGUGGUAGGAAGACAGAGCGAUCCAACUGCAGGCUGCGGGAGAACUGACAAGACCUGGGACUGUCAAUCUCAGGGGAGGCCCUGCUGCGUUAUCCCAUGAGAAGGGCUGCUGACUAUGCCACUGUGCCAAACCUGGACUUUAUCUCUUACAUCGAUUUGAUUUGGUUUCUCUCAGUCCUCAAGUCAGAUUUGUAUCUGAAUUGAUCACUGAGCCUUUGACAAGUGUCAUCUGCUGUAUAUAUUGCAAUUCAUGACAUUUAAGGGCCUGUUGACCUAGCAAUUCGGCUCCCAUGCAGGAAACAAGAUACCAACUUCAUUUAAAAAUAUGGUACAAUUGACAAAUGCUCAUAUUAACUCAAAUACAUAACAGGAGGCAAGAAAGUAUUCUAAAAUUUAUUUAAUGAUGGUAUCUAUGUAGUUUUACCCCAUCUUUAUUCUUUCGCUAAACAAGAAUAUGUUUCUGUAAUGUCAAAGGUAUACUGGGAACUACUACUAGUCUUCCAUUGCUGCUGUGGAAGUGUUUCAAUUUUUGAAAGUGUAAGAGAUGAGGGAAGAAAUCUGGAUAUAUCAGAUUCUUUGGAAAAUAACAGAUAAGUAAACAUGUAAUAUAUUAUGGCUACUAUUUUAAUGCAAAAAUAUAUUUCUACUACUAACAUAUUUGCCAAGGUAUGGUAAGCAUUGUAUAAAGUAAUGACUACUCAAUAGAAUAUCUAUUUAACAGAUUUAUCUUCCUGAAGAAAAUAUGCAAAGAUAAUCUUAAAAUGUAAACAAUGCUAUAGAAUCAAACUCAUGAAACAGCUGUUGUAUUAGUCUGUUCUCAUGUUGCCAAUAAAGACAUACCUGAUACUGGGUGUUCAUAAAGGAAAGAGGUUUAACUGACUCACAGUUCCACAUGGCUGGGGAGGCCUCACAAUCACGGUGGAAGGCAAGGAGGAGCAAAGCCACGUCUUACAUGGUGGCAGGCAAGGGGGCUUGUAUAGUGGAACUCUCCUUUAUAAAAUCAUCAGUUCUCAUGAGACUUAUGAUCAUGAGAACAGCAGGGGAAAGACCCAUCCCCAUGAUUCCAUUACCUCCCACUCGGUUCCUUCCAUGACACAUAGGAAUUAUGGGAGCUACAACUCAAGAUAAGAUUUGGGUGGGGACACAGCCAAACCAUAUCAGUUGUUAAACCCAUAUUUUGCCAAGUCUUAGUUUUAUUAUCUGUGAAAUGAAAAAUAUUAAUACCUAUCUGCCCUACCGACUUCACAAAGAUGCUGUGACAACCAGGUGGAUUAAUAUAUAGAAAAUGAUGUGGAAAAUAAAAAACAUGAUGGGAAAG